CCUACGGGGGGCAGCAGUGAGGAAUAUUGGUCAAUGGACGAGAGUCUGAACCAGCCAAGUAGCGUGAAGGAUGACUGCCCUAUGGGUUGUAAACUUCUUUUAUAUGGGAAUAAAAUGUUCCACGUGUGGGAUUUUGUAUGUACCAUAUGAAUAAGGAUCGGCUAACUCCGUGCCAGCAGCCGCGGUAAUACGGAGGAUCCGAGCGUUAUCCGGAUUUAUUGGGGUUAAAGGGAGCGUAGGUGGAUUGUUAAGUCAGUUGUGAAAGUUUGCGGCUCAACCGUAAAAUUGCAGUUGAAACUGGCAGUCUUGAGUACAGUAGAGGUGGGCAGAAUUCGUGGUGUAGCGGUGAAAUGCUUAGAUAUCACGAAGAACGCCGAUUGCGAAGGCAGUUCACUGGACUGCAACUGACACUGAGGCUCGAAAGUGUGGGUAUCAAACAGGAUUAGAUACCCCUGUAGUC
rnacentral:rRNA from 1 species